UACGUAGGGUGCGAGCGUUAAUCGGAAUUACUGGGCGUAAAGCGUGCGCAGGCGGUGAUGUAAGACAGUUGUGAAAUCCCCGGGCUCAACCUGGGAACUGCAUCUGUGACUGCAUCGCUGGAGUGCGGCAGAGGGGGAUGGAAUUCCGCGUGUAGCAGUGAAAUGCGUAGAUAUGCGGAGGAACACCGAUGGCGAAGGCAGCCCCCUGGGGUAACACUGACGCUCAUGCACGAAAGCGUGGGGAGCAAACAGG
rnacentral:rRNA from 1 species